UAAUCGAUAAACCACGAAUAAUCUUACUUGUUUAAAAUAAUUUGUAUACCGUCAUUAUUAGAUAACGUUUAUAGAUGAAGUUAUUGMSAUUAACUGGGUUAGGAAUAUUAGAUCAAGGUGCAGKUAAUAGACAAGGAAAAAUGGGUUACAAUAAUAUUGGUUUAUAACGGAUCUUUUUUUGAAAAUAAAGGUGAAGGAGGAU
rnacentral:rRNA from 1 species